UUAGCCCCGCCCCGCUGCGGCUGAUUCGUCUAGUUAAACCCUGGUGUUCCUGACACAAACUUCAGGAAAGGAUUUUGCACUUGUGCAGACCGGGCGAGCAGAGUAAGAAGCAGGUCCCGCAUACCAACAAAACUAAGGACGCCAACUUGUCUGGAAGGCCCAAUAAAAAGCUGAUUCAUGGAGGAAUGCAAUUGUCACAUCCUAAUGAUUUCAUCUCCCUUACCCCAACGAAUCGAUAACCCCAAAUUUUCCAGCCCCUCACCCUCCACAAAUCCCCUUAAAAAACUUUGCCUAGAACCCCUUGAUGAAAUGGAUUGAAGCUUGAGAACUCUUCCUGUUUCCUGGCUUGUAACUUGUGAUUAUUAAAACUUUCUCUGCUGCAA
rnacentral:lncRNA from 10 species